AACGUAGGAGACAAACGUUAUCCGGAGUUACUGGGCGUAAAGAGCGCGUAGGCGGAACGUUAAGCGGGGCCGGAAAGCCCCCGGCUCAACCGGGGAAGGGGCCGCGAACUGGCGUUUCUUUGAGGGGGAGAGGGGGAGAGGCGGGAAUUCCUGGUGUAGCGGUGAAAUGCGCAGAUAUCAGGAGGAACACCGAUGGCGAAGGCAGUUCUCUGGGCCGUUACUGACGCUGAGGAGCGAAGCGUGGGGAGCGAACAGG
rnacentral:rRNA from 1 species